GCUGAUAUAAAGCAAUAGCAAGCAAAAUCUGGAUGGAUAUUUCUGUUAGCAGCCUAUUGGGUCACACUCAUAAGUGCAUCAACCAAAGACCGCACUUGAUUGAUAUACAUUGAGUCCAUCUCAGAUUUUAUAGCUGCAAGCCAUCUGUCAAAGUCACUACUCAUGAUUAUUUUUGAAUAGAUCAUGAGAUUAUCAUUCUCAAUGAUGUAUGACUUUCAUAUUUGAGUCAUACAUUACACACUCUGAUUAACCUUCAGAGAGGAGAUGUGUGUCG
rnacentral:lncRNA from 1 species